ACGCUAGUUGAACAUGACGGUUCUUUAAUGAGAUGAAAAGGGAAUGCGGUGCGGGGAAACCUCCCCAAUGCCGCGGCUGCCCCCGCAACUGUAUGCGGUGAAUCCUUCGUCAGAUGCCACUGGGAAACUCGGUCCUGGGAAGGCGACGAAGGGUAACGACCCGCGAGCCAGGAGACCUGCCGUCAGCCGUGGUCACAC
rnacentral:ncRNA from 1 species